rnacentral:rRNA from 1 species
AGAGUGAACGCUGGCGGCAGGCCUAACACAUGCAAGUCGAACGGCAGCACAGGAGAGCUUGCUCUCUGGGUGGCGAGUGGCGGACGGGUGAGGAAUACGUCGGAAUCUGCCUAUUUGUGGGGGAUAACCUCGGGAAACCGGGACUAAUACCGCAUACGACCUACGGGUGAAAGCGGAGGACCUUCGGGCUUCGCGCAGAUAGAUGAGCCGACGUCGGAUUAGCUAGUUGGCGGGGUAAAGGCCCACCAAGGCGACGAUCCGUAGCUGGUCUGAGAGGAUGAUCAGCCACACUGGAACUGAGACACGGUCCAGACUCCUACGGGAGGCAGCAGUGGGGAAUAUUGGACAAUGGGCGCAAGCCUGAUCCAGCCAUGCCGCGUGUGUGAAGAAGGCCCUUGGUUGUAAGCAUUUGUUGGGAAGAAAGACACGUGGUUAAGUACCCGGUGU